UCUUUGUUUGCUGAUGUCUGUAUGCCUC
rnacentral:piRNA from 1 species